rnacentral:rRNA from 1 species
AUUGAACGCUGGCGGCAGGCCUAACACAUGCAAGUCGAACGAGUGGCGGACGGGUGAGUAAUGUCUGGGAAACUGCCUGAUGGAGGGGGAUAACUACUGGAACCGGUCGCUAAUCCCGCAUACCAUCGGAUGUGCCCAGAUGGGAUUAGCUAGUAGGUGGGGUAAAGGCUCACCUAGGCGACGCUCCCUAGCUGGUCUGAGAGGAUGACCAGCCACACUGGAACUGAGACACGGUCCAGACUCCUACGGGAGGCAGCAGUGGGGAAUAUUGCACAAUGGGCGCAAGCCUGAUGCAGCCAUGCCGCGUGUAUGAAGAAGGCCUUCGGGUUGUAAAGCACUUUCAGCGGGGAGGCGUUACUCGCAGAAGAAGCACCGGCUAACUCCGUGCCAGCAGCCGCGGUAAUAC